AGGUCCNACCUGCCCAGUGAUUAUUUUAACGGCCGCGGUAUAUUGACCGUGCAAAGGUAGCAUAAUCAUUAGUCUUUUAAUAGAGGGCUGGAAUGAAAGGUUUCACGAGGAAUAGACUGUCUCAUUUUAUUUGUAUUAAAAAUUAAUUUUUUGGUUAAAAAGCUAAGAUUUUAUUGGAAGACGAGAAGACCCUAUAGAUCUUUAUAUAAAUUUAAUUAUUUAUUUAUAUAUUAAUAUAUUUACUUAUAGUUAUAUUUUGUUGGGGUGACAAAAAUAUAUAAUAAACUUUUUUAUUUAAAUUACACUGAUUAGUGAAUUGUAGAUCCAUUAUUAUUGAUUAUUAGAUUAAGUUACCUUAGGGAUAACAGCGUAAUCCCCCUUCAGAGUUCAUAUUCACAGGGUGGGCUUGCGACCUCGAUGUUGGAUUAAGAUAAUAGUUAGGUGCAGCAGCUUAAUGUAUAGGUCUGUUCGACCUUUAAAUUCUUACAUGAUCUGAG
rnacentral:rRNA from 1 species